rnacentral:misc_RNA from 1 species
GUAGAGAGAGGAGGAGGCCCAUGGGCAUGUGUACUGUGCGGGAUUGAAUGGGCGAGGGGUGGUAGAUAUUGCCCCCCUCCCAACGCCCACCAACGACCCCCUCCUAACGCCACCCAACACCCCACCCGGCCACCACCCCGCCUGCCACCCACUCGCCACCCGACUGCCGCCGAGGAAACAACCUGCAACUCAACAUCGUGGAACACGAGGUUCCUUUCUACGGGACACGAGAUCGACUCAGCCUCACUUUGGGUAUAAGAGGCGGCAGCGGUAGCACCGUCAGAGGAAGAGGAGAAGGUGGUGAAGGAGCCGGCGGAGGGAGGGUGAAGCAGGUCCAUCAACCGAGGCCCGGCCUCGAAGCUUACCGCGAACCGGGCCGAGCGCCGGGUGUGCUGACACUGGGAGGGUCGCUGCACCAUCACCGGAGGUGGGCAUGGAGGGUAGCGGCGUCGGAAUCGGCAGGAUUGACUGCUACGAAGAUAUGUUCAAGGAGAUCACGAGAAAGCUAUACGGAGAGGAUCCUGAUCACCGAAGUAAGAAAAUUAUAAGGUCAUGGGACACCUUGAGAGCCGAAUACAUAGCAUCGAGCAUACAAAAUGAGUUCGAGACUUCGGCAUCCUAUAAAAAUAACACGGACGACGAUACCGGAAACGGAAAUGACGGGACUGACGACGCAGGUUGGACCUGCGCCGAAGAACCUCUGGAAUGUACAGAAGGUAGUCGAGUUGCUGCCUACCACGCGACCAAAGCCACUUGGAGAUGCUGCGAAUGUGGCGAAUGUCUCGGCGGAGGGCCUCGGGAAGUCGCCGAGCAUUUCCUCGGACUGCAUCCGUCCAGGGUGUCCGUUGAGGAUGGUGGAGUAGGGCACCACGCGGGUCGAUCUACGGAGUGCAGGAAAGACUCCCUCGCAGACGAGGUUACCCUUUAUCUAGAGCGGGUCCGCGAGCGGGCUGAGAGACCGUCACCUCCGUCUCGUAGGUCCCAGGAAACCCAAACAAUUCCUGCAGCUCUUUUGCCUCCCGCCACUAGUUUUCUCCUUCACGAUGUUCACGCCGCAACGUCGACGCAGCAUGCUCAUUUGCAUCAGCAGAGUCCUGGAACCGGAACCACGACAACGGCUAGCGGGAAGAGGUACGCGUGUCCGUAUUGUCCCUACGGUACGGACAGGCGAGAUCUGUACACCCGUCACGAGAACAUUCACCGUGAGGAAAAGCCGUUCCAUUGCUACGUCUGCUAUAAGCCAUUUAACAGAGCGGAUCAUGUGAAGAAACAUUUCUUGAGAAUGCAUAGGGAACACCGAUACGAGUUGGCCAGGAUACGUAGACCCACCGGUAGCACUUCCAAGUCCUUACAGGACCAGAGCGCUGCUGCUGGAAGCGGAGGAACCGCUUCCACUGGCUCCCACCAUACCGGAAACUACCCAACCGCGUACAACAACAAAAGCUAUCAGCUGCAUUCCACGUCAACUACUGGUCUUUAUCCAACGCCAGGGAUGCCUGCCACCACGAUGCACACACCAGCACGGAGAACGCAGAAUGGCGGAUGCAAUAGCAAGAGUCACCUCAAAGGAGCGUCGAAAGGAGCCCAAGAAAGAAGGUACACGUGCUGUUACUGUUCUUGGAGCGGUGUGGACAACUGGUGCCUGAAACGCCACUUGAACACUCACCUGAAACCGUUUGCUUGCGCGUUAUGCGAGUACAAAGCCGCCCGAGCUGAACGUUUGUCAACUCAUGUACUCAAGGUCCAUAACAGGAGACAAUGCUCGCGCUGCUCUUACCUCGCUGAAGAUGCUGCACAGCUACAGCUGCACCAGCUACACGUUCACAGGGUUACAACCGCCAAUGCCCCAACGGCUCCUCCGACUCCGCGCCAUCAUCAACACUUACAGCCGUCUGGUGGUGGUGGACGCCCGCCGCCCGGUCCCCCUGUAUUUCCGGCUCCAGCUCCGCCGACUGUUAGCGGUAGCGUUAUACCGCCAACCACAAUUCUUGGCCACGAGAUGGUAGACGGCUCCACAGCCGCGGCAAGCUUACAGUCGCAGGAUAUAUUAAUUUGCGAGAAUUGCGGAUCUGAGUUUCUGAAGAGGACUGGAUUCGGAACGCGGCACGAGGGAACUGUCUCUCGACGUUGCAGUGAGAAUCAGCCAAUUUACUGCUACAAAUGCAGUAUUUACCAAUUGGACGUUGGUACUUGUUCGGAAAUGAUAGACCGCAUAACAAGAAGUUACUUAGCUUCUUAUGAAAAUCAGAUCAAGACAGAAAACAGGAAUAGGCCAGAUGAUGAUAUUUCGUGCACCAGUGAAAAGCGUGCGCGAAAACAGAGACGGCCACAAAAAUUACCUGCCGAAAACGAUGUUCAAUCUAGACAAAACACUUUCACAGCCAUCAAUAUUCGAGGAACUCAGUCGAGUACGAAUCAAACGAAGAUAAUCGAGAUACGAGAAAGAUGCUUAGCACAAUUAGUCUCCAGAAAAGGAUUGUUGAAGUGCUACCGUUGCUCGAGACAUGCUUCGGCUAGAGCAUUUAUGUGGGUCCCUUAUCACACCAAGGCUUCCCUAAUAUUGCAUAAUCUUUGGCGUCACUCCCGACCUAAUAUUUCUUUACGCACAAAACGUGAAUCGCGAUCGGUUACAUUACGAGCAACGGUAUACACGCGUCAUGCGGAUGCGUUUCAAGAAAUCAGUUAACAAUCCUCGAUGUUGACUUGGAUAUAUUAAUGUUACUGGAGUCCGAAAUUAACAGAUUUAUCAUUUAAGUUCAAAAUUGAAUGUAGAACAUAACUCUUGAAAGUCGGACCAUCUUCACUAAUUAUGGCAAUAUUUUACCCAACCAAGAUUAAUAAAUCGUCACUGAUUAAGGGCAGAGGUUUCCCAAUAAUUUAAAAUUUGAAGUAUUAAAUAGAAUCUUGGUUUAGCAUUUGAUGGUUUGCAAUGAUUAGCAUGACUUGAGAUAUGUCAUUCAUUAGAAUGAUCAGAACACUCUGCCUACGAUGAUUCAACUUGUUCGAGAAGGAAUAUAGCAUUGUUCAAUUUCGAAAACGUAUUAGAAGUGAAUUGAGCAGCGCCUGCAGCCUCCUUCGCGUUUUUAUAGUACUUACUUUGACCAAGUAACACAAUACAUACCUCUAAGUAAUACAAUCAUUCCGUGAAACUGAGAUUUUAGUAUCGCGAAUAUUUUUGUCUUGUAUAUAUAGCGACAAUAUUGCGUAUUAUUGGAGAGGCGGAUUACUGAUAAAAGUAAUGACAUUUAUAUAUGUAAUCAGACCUUGGUAACUAGCUGUUAAUUGUUAAAAUUGUUAGAAAUUGUGAAGAAAUCAGGGCGUUAUUUCAUUUCGAAAACGUACAACGACCAUUUUUUGUAAAAUAGCCUUGAUAACAUAAUAAUACCAUAUUAUUCUACCAUCGGAAGGUUUGUCAAUAGUUUUUAGGAGCAGUGCUGUCAAGUCAAGUGUGUAUCGUAAGCAUAAUAUAAUGGAUGUAAUGAGAUGAAAUUGUUAAAGUCAAAUUCUACGAAUUACGUAUAACGGAGUUUUACAAAUUCGAUAACGAUUUGAAUACGUCUAAUUAGGAAUCAAGAUUGUUUCUCCAGUUAAAUUAUUAUAAAUUCCAAGGACUUUCGUGGUUUGGUUCAAGUAGAUCUAAUCCAGUUUGCCAAAGGCUUGCUCCGAGCUACUUUUGCAAUCCUUUUGUUUGUAUGGAUAUAAUGGUCCUCAAUAAACAGUGUCACUUGAAUUGAAGUCUUUUACGCGAAUUCAGAUAACACUCUAAUAAGUCUCAUUAUCAAGUAACACUGUCUUCAGAGACUAAUUGUAUAUACGUCUAAUAUAUUUUGCUGAGACGUAAGUAGGGAAGACCGGAAGAG